ACACCUUAUUUAAAGAAAAUAUGUAAUUAUAUAAAUGUGAGGAUAGAUAUGGUGGUUCCUUGUAUCGUACUUUACUAGUUGGAUAUCUGUGGCAAUUCUAGAGUUACUCUGGAGACGAGCGCUAUUAUUAUACCAAAGUCAAUCAGACCUUGUAUCCAUAUUAUAUGGUGACUCUGUGUAACUUUGGGCUGAUCGAUCAGGCUCGUCCCGGCGACAUAUUUUUCAAAUGCCUGCGUUAUCGACUGUCGACGCCUACCAUGGUCGCAAAGGGUGACGGGAAAUCAGAGCUCGAUUCCUGAGAAGGAGCCUGAGAAACUGCUACCACAUCCAAGAAAGGCAGCAAGCGCGCAAAUUACUCACUCCUAGAAUAGGGAGGUAAUGACAAAAAAAAUAACAAUACGGGACUCUUUUGAGACUUCUAUAACUGGAAUAAGUACAUUCUAAAUCCUUGAAUGAGGAUCAAUUGGAGGGCACGUCUGGUGCCAGCAGCCGCGGUAAUUCCAGCUUCAGUAGUGU
rnacentral:ncRNA from 1 species